rnacentral:rRNA from 1 species
AGCCCUAGCACAGGUGCUGCAUGGCCGUCGUCAGCUCGUGCCGUGAGGUGUUGGGUUAAGUCCCGCAACGAGCGCAACCCCGCCGUUAGUUGCCAGCGGUUCGGCCGGGCACUCUAACGGGACUGCCCGCGAAAGCGGAGGAAGAGGGGACGACGUCUGGUCAGCAUGGCCCUUACGGCCUGGGCGACACACGUGCUACAAUGCCCACUACAAAGCGAUGCCACCCGGCAACGGGGAGCUAAUCGCAAAAAGGUGGGCCCAGUUCGGAUUGGGGUCUGCAACCCGACCCCAUGAAGCCGGAAUCGCUAGUAAUCGCGGAUCAGCCAUGCCGCGGUGAAUACGUUCCCGGGCCUU